rnacentral:rRNA from 1 species
AGGACGAACGCUGGCGGCGUGCUUAACACAUGCAAGUCGAGCGGAAAGGCCCUUCGGGGUACUCGAGCGGCGAACGGGUGAGUAACACGUGGGCAACCUGCCCCUAGCUCUGGGAUAACUCCGGGAAACCGGUGCUAAAUACCGGAUACGACCUCAUUAGGCAUCCUUUGAGGUGGAAAGAUUUAUCGGCUAGGGAUGGGCCCGCGGCCUAUCAGCUUGUUGGUGGGGUAACGGCCUACCAAGGCGACGACGGGUAG